rnacentral:rRNA from 1 species
GAUGAGCGCUGGCGGCAUGCCUAAUACAUGCAAGUCGAACGGAAACCUUCGGGUUUCAGUGGCGAACGGGUGAGUAACACGUAGGUAACCUGGCCACGUACCCGGGAUAAUUUCUGGAAACGGAACUAAACCGGAUAGGCAGCGGGGAGGCAUCUUCCCGCUGUUAAAGGAGCCUCAAAGCUCUGGACAUGGAUGGACCUGCGGUGCAUUAGCUAGUUGGCGGGUAACGCCCACCAAGGCAGCGAUGCAUAGCCGACCUGAGAGGGCGAACGGCCACAUUGGGACUGAGACACGGCCCAA